rnacentral:rRNA from 1 species
AUUGAACGCUGGCGGCAUGCCUUACACAUGCAAGUCGAACGGUAACAGGUCUUCGGAUGCUGACGAGUGGCGAACGGGUGAGUAAUACAUCGGAACGUGCCCGAUCGUGGGGGAUAACGAGGCGAAAGCUUUGCUAAUACCGCAUACGAUCUACGGAUGAAAGCGGGGGAUCUUCGGACCUCGCGCGGACGGAGCGGCCGAUGGCAGAUUAGGUAGUUGGUGGGAUAAAAGCUUACCAAGCCGACGAUCUGUAGCUGGUCUGAGAGGAUGAUCAGCCACACUGGGACUGAGACACGGCCCAGACUCCUACGGGAGGCAGCAGUGGGGAAUUUUGGACAAUGGGCGAAAGCCUGAUCCAGCCAUGCCGCGUGCAGGAUGAAGGCCUUCGGGCUGUAAACUGCUUUUGUACGGAACGAAAAGCCUCUUUCUAAUAAAGAGGGGUCAUGACGGUACCGUAAGAAUAAGCACCGGCUAACUACGUG